rnacentral:rRNA from 1 species
UACGAAGGGGGCUAGCGUUGUUCGGAAUCACUGGGCGUAAAGCGCACGCAGGCGGAUUGAUAAGUCAGGGGUGAAAUCCCGGAGCUCAACUUCGGAAUUGCCUUUGAUACUGUCUAUCUUCGAGUUCGGUAGGGGAGAUCGGAAUUCCUGGUGUAGCGGUGAAAUGCGCAGAUAUCAGGAGGAACACCGGUGGCGAAGGCGGAUCUCUGGGCCGAUACUGACGCUGAGGAGCGAAAGCGUGGGGAGCGAACAG